CACUAUACGGCGAAACUGCGAACGGCUCAUUAUAUAAGUUAUCGUUUAUUUGAUAGCACCUUGCUACUUGGGUAACCGUGGUAAUUCUAGAGCUAAUACAUGCCAAAAAUCCCGACUUCGGAAGGGAUGUGUUUAUUAGAUUCAAAACCAAUGCCCCCUGGGCUCACUGGUGAUUCAUGAUAACCGCUCGAAUCGCACGGCCUUGCGCUGGCGAUGGUUCAUUCAAAUUUCUUCCCUAUCAACUUUCGAUGUUUGGGUAGUGGCCAAACAUGGUUGCAACGGGUAACGGAGGGUUAGGGCUCGACCCCGGAGAAGGAGCCUGAGAAACGGCUACUACAUCCAAGGAAGGCAGCAGGCGCGCAAAUUACCCAAUCCCGACACGGGGAGGUAGUGACAAUAAAUACCGAUAUAGGGCUCUUUUGGGUCUUAUAAUUGGAAUGAGUACAAUUUAAAUCCCUUAACGAGGAACAAUUAGAGGGCAAGUCUGGUGCCAGCAGCCGCGGUAAUUCCAGCUCUAAUAGCGUAUAUUAAAGUUGUUGUGGUUAAAAAGCUCGUAGUUGAACCUUGGGCCUGGCUGGCCGGUCCGCCUCACCGCGUGCACUGGUCCGGCCGGGCCUUUCCCUCCGCGGAACCCCAUGCCCUUCGCUGGGCGUGGCGGGGAAACGGGACUUUUACUUUGAAAAAAUUAGAGUGCUCAAGGCAGGCAUAUGCUCGAAUACAUUAGCAUGGAAUAAUGAAAUAGGACGCGCGGUUCUAUUUUGUUGGUUUCUAGGACCGCCGUAAUGAUUGAUAGGGACAGUCGGGGGCGUCAGUAUUCAACCGUCAGAGGUGAAAUUCUUGGACCGGUUGAAGACUAACUACUGCGAAAGCAUUCGCCAAGGAUGUUUUCAUUAAUCAGGAACGAAAGCUAGGGGAUCGAAGACGAUCAGAUACCGUCGUAGUCUUAGCCAUAAACUAUGCCGACUAGGGAUCGGGCGAUGUUAUUCUUUGACUCGCUCGGC
rnacentral:rRNA from 1 species